UCUUACGGAAGAACAAAGAAAGUGGUUUCUUGAGAUGAAACCUGCUCCUGGUGAUGGUGCUGUGAA
rnacentral:pre_miRNA from 1 species